AGAGGCUCCUAAGACCUGACUCUAUGCACUGCGUCUCAGGCCUGGUAGUCAGUGGUGGGAACUGGUCAGGGAAGAAAACAAUGCAUUAGGCGUUAGAUGCAUGUUAUCUCAUCAAGUUAUGAAAUAGAUCAUCUCAUCUCCACUUUACUGAUGAAGAAAAUGCAGCUCAGAGAGGUUAAGCAACCUGCCCACGAUCACACAGGACCAGUGGGCCACCUAGAACAAACGCCAAGCUAAACUGCUCGAGCACAGUGAUGGCCUCUUCUUGUGUCACAUUUGCAGACAUUCCACUGGCCAAAGAAAGUCAUGGGGCCAAGCACAGCCUCAGUGGCCCAGGGAAAUCUGCUCUGUCCAGUCCAAUAGACAGAGAGGGGAAUGAAUAGCUGCUGAAUUAUCCAAAUUCACACUAUUUGCCUGACUCCAGUAUCCUAUUUCUUAAUUGACUCUAACUCAGAUGGAGAAAAGAGAUAUGACUAGUUAUUAUAGAAAUCCAUCUGAACCCCUUGCACAGAAGAGUGAGGCAUGGGAGCUGAAGGCUGACUUAGAUAAAAGGGACUGGGCAGGUGCAAUUGCUUCCCACUGAGAGGCCAAGGAGUUGGAGUUGGGGACCAAGACAUCAGUUUGCAAAGCAAGACUCUGAGACUCUUAGAGGAACUUAAAAGACUGGAAGAGAGGAGAUGGCAACAGGACAUUAAGGAACAUGCAAAAGUACACAAGACACUUCCACUUUUUACCCUAUCCUGGGCAUUCAUUGUGGAUGCUAAAUUUUGGAAGAAGCCAGUGAGUUUGCCUUAGCUCUGCCUGAGGUCAGCCUCUCUCCUCUCAGCCACCACGGCCUACCUUGAUAUCCUCCUGUGGUGUCCUCAACUCUGGCUGGUUGCCUGUUGUAAUGGGUUGAAUGGUGGCCCCUACAAGUGGUAGGCCUGCUCAGAAUCUGUGAUUGUGAUUUUAUUUGGAAAAAGGGUUAAGAUUUUAAUAAUUAAGUUUAAAAUCUCAGGAUAAGAUCAUCCUGUACUACCUUAUGUGGACCCUAAACCCAAUGACAAGUGUCCUCAUAAGAGGCAGAAGAGAAGAACAUACAGCCAGAAAAGAAGGGAAGCCAUGUGAAGAUGGAGACAGAGGUUGGAGCACUGCAGCCACAAGGAUCGCUGAUAACUGCCUGGGUUGGAAGAGACUGGAAGAUUCUCUCCUAGAGCCUCUGGAAUAAGUGUGACUCUAUUGACUCCUUAGUUUUGGCUUUCUGGCCUCUAGAACUGUAGAAGAAUGAAUAUCUGUUGCUGUAAGUCAUGCAGUUUGUGAUAAUUUGUCAUGGCAGUCCUAGAGAAUGAAUAUACUAGUCUAGUCUGCUUUCUAUCAGGCCCUGGUCUUUCCCAACCCUCUCUCCAGUAUUGCCCCGGGGAAGACAAUUUAAUUGUUCACACUGGGGUUGCCUUCCUGUCUCUUUUCUCCUAACUUUCUAUUUUCCUGUUCUUUUCAGAAAGUUGUUCCUCUCCCUAUUGAGUUUUUUCUGUUCACCUGAUCUUCCAAAUCCAUUAUUUUCUCUUUGACAUCUUCACAUUCCAGCCUUGUUUAUUUUACUUAUUUUUUUUUUAACAUUCAGAGAGUUUGGACACAUGCAUCUCAGCCUUCCCUUUUCAGCCUAAAGAUGCUUGUGCUUUGAGGCCGUAUGCAGCAAGUGCCUUCCCCAUCCCUGUGUUUAUAGUAGAUGGUCAUCUAAUCCAUUCUCUCUCUCUCUAUUCUGAUUUUGUCUCUACAACAUAUUGGCAGAGGGAUUUUCUAGCAUUUGCUUAUGUUUAUUCGUAGAUGAGAAGCUCACCAACCCCAGGACAGUCUGUUCAGUUAGAUUCUGUCUGUCUAAGAAGACCUUAUAUUGGCCAUGGUAUUAGUCAGUCUGGGCAGCUAUAACAAAUUACCAUAAGCUGGGUGGCCUAAACAAGAAACAUGCAGUUGUCACAGUUCUCGAGGCUGGAAGUUGAGAUAAGUAUGCCAGCAUGGUUGGGUUCUUGGCAAGGGCUCUUUUUCAGCUUCUUAGAUGGCUGUCUUCCUGUGGCCUCAUAUGGUAAGAGAAAAAGAAAGAUCUCAUGUUUUCCUCUCUUGUAAGGGCAUUAAUUUCAUCAUGAGGGCGCCACCCUCCUGAAAGCCCAACCUCCUGAAACCAUCACAUUGAGGAUGAGGAUAUCAGCAUAUGAUUGGAGGGGAACAUUCAGUCCAUAAGAGCCAUCUAUUAUGUCAACCCUGCUUGCCUACCUGUAACUUCACCCACUGCUCUUUCUCUCCUUCCAAAAUUAUGGGGAGAAGCAGGCUUUCAGUAUUUGCAGAGAGCUGUCAUCAACCCUAAGGUCUCCUGGUCCCAAGGGAAUAGCCUUGCUUCUUCCAGGUACUCUAUGUAGGACCUGCUUUUGGGCCCUUUCAAGAUUGGUCUAAACAUUCUCACCACAAGAGACAGCACAGGACCCCAGGCAGAGUAUCUCAUACCCUUGGACACAGUGUGUAGGACUGGAUUCUUAUAGGGAUUAAUUUAUGAUUAGGAGCUGUAAUUAUCAUGUAAGCCUGAGGCUGCUAGAGGGCUAACUGUCCGACCCCUGGGAGAGGCUCUUACACAGAAUGCUGUCAGCACAGUAGAAAACAAUGGAGAGCUAGAGAGAGAGAGAAAGAGAGAGAGAGAGAGAGCUGUCCCUUAUGAUAUCUUUGGACCAAUCAGGAUUCAACUGUGUUUGAUGCUGACCCACCCCUUGACUUUUCAGUUAUGUGAGCUUAAAAAUUCCAUCCUUGUUUGAAGUACUUUGGUUUCUGCCUUUGCAAGAAAGAGUCUUGGCUAAUAUAUCCAGUCCAGCCAGUGCUCCCCAGUGGGCUUCCUAGGAAUGAUGGCUGUGUUUAGCUUUGGGCCUCACCGAACUUCCUUGCUUCUGACCUGACUCUGCCUUCAUCCUUGGUCAUGCAGAUUUCUUCCUUCCUUUACAAUGUCCUAUUCAUUGCUAUUCUCUUGUUUCACAUUGGCAAUUGCAACCGUAGCCUUCUCUCUGGGAGCCUUACCCCUUUCUGCCCCCAAGCUCCAUCUCUGAGCUCUGCUUCAUUUGUUCUCUUGUGCAAAGCAGUGUUCUCAUGCCAUCUCCAAGGUCUUACCCUCCUCAAACCAAAAGGGAGCCUUUUGGCCUAGCUGGUGUCUCUGCCUUCCUUAAAUGGGAGCCACACUGCAGAGGCUCCAGAAAUAUACGUGCAUGCACAAGAGAAGGCUCACCUUCAUUCAAUCCAAUUUAACUGUAAGAAUAAAAGCAUUGAAAAACGAUCUUUAGCAAUCAAUUCUACGAUGAAUUAUGCAGCAAAUCAUAAGCAUUGCCCCCAAAUAUUAUGUCUACAGGAAAUGGCCUUAUGCAGCUAAUUGUUAACUGGGAAACUCUUUCAUUAAUUCAAAUGGGUCAACAUUUUAAAAUGAUACUGUCAUAUAAAUACAGUGUGAAGGUUUACAUGCAGAUCACUCUAAGGUAUCCCCCCCCUUUUUUUUUUAGUGAAGCCGACUAUUGCUGCAUUAUGUUUUAUUGUGCAAUAAAAUUAUGUGCUAAAAUUAUGCUCAUAAAUGUACGCAAAUGUAAACCAAGCUAUUAGUUAUGUUUUCACAGAUAAAAGUCAUUAGUAUAGCUAUCAAACUCUUCUCCCAUUUGAAUAACAGAAUUAUGUCUGGAAUCUCAGUCUGGCUUGCUGGGGCUCAGUCCCAGAGAGAACAAGUGUAAAUCUUGUUGCCUGUGGGAGCAAGGAUCCCGACCUGACUUUCACCAUGGAGGCCAACUCUGCCUUGAGCCUGCCAGGGUCACUAGCUGAGGAAGGGCCCUUUCGGCAUCUCUCAGCAGCUCUCAUCCCUGGGAAGUCAUUCUUAACACCUCCCCCCAACCUACUUCCUGCUAAUUAGACUUAUCGAAAAACAAUUGCACAUCUUUUGAGAUUUCAGGAGGCUGACAGCAUCUUUUAGCAACAGUCACAAGGAAACAAAGUUUCAUGUAUAAUUCAUGAGAUAUGUGGUCAUCCUGGUGGGAAAUUAUCUCCUCUGACAGGCUCAGCGGUGGUGGUGUCCUGUCAGAAUGGCCUACAGUGUAUAAUUAAAACCUGAACAGAACAAAUUAAUGCUGAUUACUUUAUAAACAGUUUGAAAGCUUGAAUUCUGUUCCCUGUCUUGCAAGAAGAAAACAGAUAUUUCAGAAAUGUGUAGAUGCCCCCCUCCCCUUACUAAUAGCAGAAGCUAAUAAAGGGCCCUUGAAUAGAUAUUACAGUUAACACUCUUUGUCCUCCAAUUUGCUUCUGUGGCCCUGGACAGCUCUAAGUCUGAGGGAGCAAACCAAAAAUUUGGCAGGUGCUACUUUUCCAAGGCAGAGGGUCUCCCUCUCUCCUGUAAUGCAGUGUUUGUCUGUCAGGGCUAGUAAAAGCUUUACAGUGCAGAAUAUGAGCACUGUGGCCAGGCGUAGUAGCUCAUGCCUGUAAUCCCAGCAUUUUGGAAGGCCGAGGCGGGUGGAUCACCUGAGGUCAGGAGUUUGAGAACAGCCCGGCCAACAUGGAGAAACCCCAUCUCUAAUAAAAAUACAAAAAUUAGCAGGGCAUGCUGGCACACACCUGUAAUCCCAGCUAUUUGGGAGGGUGAGGCAGGAGAAUGGCUUGAACCCAGGAGGCGGAGGUUGCAGUGAGCUGAGAUGGAGAUUGCACCAGUGCACACCAGCCUGGGUAACAGAGCCAGACUCCAUCUCCAAAAAACAACAAUAAUAAACAAUAAAGAAUAUGAGCACUGUGAGGGCCCACCAGGUCAGCUCAUCACAACUUUUAUUUUAUUCAUAAGGCUCAAAGUCAAGCAGAGCCAUGACAAGAUCACUAGACUGGCAAUGCAGGGCUCUUUCCUGGGCCCAGAGUUUGAAACAACAGCAGCAAUAUUAAACUAACAUUUUUGAAUACUGGUUAUGUGCCAGGAACUGUGUCUGCAAUCUCAUUUAAUUCUCAUAGCCCUAUAAAGUAUAUACUACAAUUCUCCCCAUUUUAUAGUGGGAAAGGCAUUCAGAGACAUUGAGUUUCCUACCAAGAUGCCUCACUUGGUUGGCUGGCAGAUAAAUUACUUUCCCUCCAUCCUUGCAGACAUCAACCUUAGCCAUGACCCUUCCACUGUGGCCUGAAUUCUUAUACUAGUCUUCUAACCAGUCUGUCUCGUGGCUUCCAACUUUGAUCUCUUUAAAUUUAUCCACCAUGCCUCAGCCAGGGCUAGCUUUUAGAAACAGAAAAUGGGUCACUUCAUCCCCAGCAUAAAAUAAUUGAUCAGUUCAACAAAUCUUUAUUUAGCGUCUACCACUUGGCAGGCACCACGCUAGAGUGGGGUAUGUACUGGUGAAUGAAACAUAGUGCCCACCCUCAUGGAGCUUACAGUCAGAGUGGGAAGAGAUGAUGGAUUUCCUGUUGCUCCUGGGUCCAAGUCCAAACUCCUAAAGAUGGUUUAAAAGGCAUGCCAGAUCCUAGGCUCUGUCUUUUUUUCCAGCUUCACCUCCAGGAACUCUUCCUGCAUCAGACCAGUUUAGAAAAACAAGGAAAUAGGUCUCAGCUGGCCUUCUCCAUUGCAAAACCUGUGAAAUUGAAAUUCAUACCCUUCUGCCCUGUCUGCCUAUAGGAACCCAGAAGUAGAAUCCUGUUUUUAUUAAUGAAGUGAUACAACAUGGCCUCAUAUCACAUCCCUCUUGGCAAAGCCAUAUUUCUAUAGAGGGAGACGGUGUGGUUUUGCAAAAGGAGCACAGGACUGAGGCAGAUAUGGGUUCAAAUGCUAGCUUAGUGUAUACAGCACCCUUGACAUAAGUAACUCCAUCUUAGAAAAAGACUCCAUCUUACAUUUCAAAAGCCAUGAUGCCAAUAGGGACUGGAUGUUUGCCUAAUCAAUAGAGAUUACACCCAACUAGAUAAGGACAUGACCAGUCACAUUCUUUACUAUCAAUUUAUACCAGCGAACUCAAGAGCUAUAAAAUGAAUAGAACUUCACCAGCUCAAGGUGGCUGCCUUAAUAGACACUGUCUUGCUGUCACUCAGCACCUCAGCACCCAGCAACUGCUGCUGAAGUCUCUGCCCAAAUCAAGGACUCUUCCUUGCAAGACGUUGACUCCCAUCCAGAUCAGCCUGGGACACUCUCUGUCUGUACACGUCACUCUCCUUGGACUGGUUUAUUAACCCCAUUUUAAAUUCCCUUGUGAUGGUUAAUAUUGAGUGUCAACUUGAUUGGAUUGAAGGAUGCAAAGUAUUGUUCCUGGGUGUGUCUGUGACUGUGUUACCAAAGGAGAUUAACAUUUGAGUCAGUGGACUGGGAGAGGCAGACCUACCCUCAAUCUGGGUGGGCACCAUCUAAUCAGCUGCCAGUGAUGCUAGAAUAAAGCAGGUAGCAGAAGAUGGAAGAGCAGACUUGCUGAGUCUUCCAGCCUUCAUCUUUCUCCCAUGCUGGAUGCUUCCUGCCCUUGAACAUCAGACUCCAAGUUCUUCAGUUUUUGGACUCUUGGACUUACACCAGUGGUUUGCCAGGGGCUCUCAGGCCUUUGGCCACAGACUGAAGCCUGCACUGUUGGCUUCCCCAGUUUUGAGGUUUGGGGACCCAGACUGAUCCACCACUGACUUCCUUGCUCCUCAACUUGCAGAUAGCCUAUUGUGGGACUUUAACUUGUGAUUGCGUGAGCCAAUUCUCCUUAAUAAACUCCCUUUCAUAUAUACAUAUAUCCUGUUAGUUCUGUCCCUCUGGAGAACCCUGACUAAUACACCCCUCUUCUCUUGAUGUUAAAUGUUACUCUGUUUGAUGUAAUCUGUAACAUUUAUAUAUUGAGUAUACUACUAUGUAUGGUUUUGCAAUUUUGACUGACCUAUGCUGUGGCUUGAGCCUGUGUGCCAUGUCUCUGACUACCAAGCAAAUGGAUAGUACUAAGAAUUUCCUUCUUGGGAACUCCAUGUAGCUUGUGGCUUUUAUGGUUGAAUAAGCAUCAAUAAAUCAGACCUUAUGAAAAGACACAAACAUGCAUGGGCCUGGUUAUAUCUUAUCUUGUGCAGCUCAUGACACUUAGUUUCUUAGUAGUUGGCUGAACUUGGAUAUGUUACUUUCUCUCUAUGAGCCUUAGCUUUUUUAAAUAUGCAAAGUGGGGCUAAUAAUACCCACAUCUUAUGGCAAGGAUGCUUAAACAUUAGCAUGUGUCAGAAUUACCUUGGCUUGUUAAAGCACAGAUUGCUAGACCCCAUCCCCAUCUGAUUCAGUGGGUCUGUGAUGGGGUCAGGGAAUUUGCAUUUCUAACAUGUUCCCUGGUGCUGCACUGGGAACCACAUUUUGAGAACCACGGUUUUAUGGUAUUUGUGAGUUUUUCCCUUUGUUUUCUUUCGUUGAGGUUGAACAGUUCGUAUAUCUUAAGCAUAUAGCUUGAUGAAUGUUUGCAUUCGUGUGCACCCAUGUAGGCACCAACCAUCUCAACUGAGAUCCAGGCUACAGUUGACACUUGAAUGACAUGGAUUUUAAUAGUGUGAGUCCACUUAUAGGCAUAUUUUUUUCAACCAAAUGCAGAUCAGAAAUACAAUAUUGGUGGGAUGCAAAACCCACUUAUAAAGAGGGCCAACUUUUUGUAUCUGCAGGUUCCAAAAGGCUAGCUAUGGGACUUGAGUAUGUGUGGAUGUGGGUAUCUUCAGGUGUGGCCCUGGAACCAAUCUCUGCAUGUACUGAGAGACAACUGUAUUUUCAGCACCCUAUAGAAUUUCUUGUGCCCCUUCCCAAAGAUAACCACAAUUCUGCUCUAUAUCACCAUCUAUGGACCUUGCUUGUUUUUGGAUUUCUAUAAAUAAAA
rnacentral:lncRNA from 1 species